UACGUAGGGGGCAAGCGUUGUCCGGAUUUAUUGGGCGUAAAGAGCGUGUAGGCGGCUUUACAGGUCCGUUGUGAAAACUCGAGGCUCAACCUCGAGACGCCGGUGGAAACCGUAAAGCUAGAGUCCGGAAGAGGAGAGUGGAAUUCCUGGUGUAGCGGUGAAAUGCGCAGAUAUCAGGAAGAACACCCGUGGCGAAGGCGGCUCGCUGGGACGUGACUGACGCUGAGACGCGAAAGCGUGGGGAGCAAACAGG
rnacentral:rRNA from 1 species